GCAGUGGGGAAUAUUGCACAAUGGGCGCAAGCCUGAUGCAGCCAUGCCGCGUGUAUGAAGAAGGCCUUCGGGUUGUAAAGUACUUUCAGUGGGGAGGAAGGCGAAGAGGUUAAUAACCUUUUCGAUUGACGUUACCCGCAGAAGAAGCACCGGCUAACUCCGUGCCAGCAGCCGCGGUAAUACGGAGGGUGCAAGCGUUAAUCGGAAUUACUGGGCGUAAAGCGCACGCAGGCGGUCUGUCAAGUCGGAUGUGAAAUCCCCGGGCUCAACCUGGGAACUGCAUUCGAAACUGGCAGACUAGAGUCUUGUAGAGGGGGGUAGAAUUCCAGGUGUAGCGGUGAAAUGCGUAGAGAUCUGGAGGAAUACCGGUGGCGAAGGCGGCCCCCUGGACAAAGACUGACGCUCAGGUGCGAAAGCGUGGGGAGCAAACAGGAUUAGA
rnacentral:rRNA from 1 species